rnacentral:tRNA from 1 species
AUGGUACUUAGUUUAAAGUAAAACAAGUGGUUUCGACCCAUUAGACUGUGAUCUAAACUCACAAGUACCAA